UACGUAGGGGGCAAGCGUUGUCCGGAAUUACUGGGCGUAAAGCGCGUGUAGGCGGCAGCGCAAGUCGGGCGUGAAAUCCCACGGCUCAACCGUGGAAGUGCACUCGAAACUGCGCAGCUAGAGUCCUGGAGAGGAAGGUGGAAUGCUUGGUGUAGAGGUGAAAUUCGUAGAUAUCAAGCGGAACACCGGUGGCGAAGGCGGCCUUCUGGACAGUGACUGACGCUGAGACGCGAAAGCGUGGGGAGCAAACAGG
rnacentral:rRNA from 1 species